ensembl:lncRNA
UGCAUCCUCUUAUCACUUAAGAUCCAUUGUGACGCGCAGGAGUCCUGUGUAGGGUUCAGUGUGAGUACUUGUCCACAGACAGCCUAGAGACUCGCUGCCCAUUCACUCUUCUGUGAGGACUACUACUAGUCCUUAGACUGCCUCAGCACUGCUUUAGCAUUUAGUGGUUCAAGGGGACAGCAGAUGACCCAGCAAAAUGUUCCAGCACCACCACCUGGUUUCCCACACCCAUGGUGCAAUCUAUCAUCAGUGGAUGGAGAGAGCAUUCUUCAAAGAGCUUUGUGUUCGAAUCUCCACCUCUGAUCUUCCCGUGUCAUCCUCCCAAGCUCCGACCGAAGGUCAGAGUAAAGAGAGACUGACAUCUUACGGUUUCCUUGCUCUACCUUCAGUAAGACGCUCUGAGUCAAUGUCUAAGGUCAGGUCAGCGCUACCUCGGGUGUAGAAUUAGAACUACACAAGAGUCUGGCUAAAUGCAGCGUGCCUAGAAGUAGGCCGGCUGCGGGAAGGCAAAGGUGGGAGAGUGGUACCCGAGGGGAACGCAGGCUCCAUUCUUCGCAGGCACAUUCAGUUCUUGUGUAAGGACCCACUAAGUAUGUGCACCGAAAUCUGAUUUAAAGCUCUCCCUGGUCACACUAUCUAUGGCCUGACUUCUCCCUGUUUGUCUUGUCAUCUGCUUUUCUCACAGGGGUGGGGCCUUUCAGGGGAGGGGGCAUGGAACUGCCAAGCUGAGGAGAAUGGAUUGGUGCUGUUUUUCUAGCCAGGAUUGCAAGCAUCUGUAUUCUAGUCUGGAAAGAACAAGACAGACAGGGCUCGUUCUCCGAAACAUUUCUUAAGAAUAACAGUGUUGCAAGGGUGCGAGGAGACUUGAUUAUUUGUCAUAACUUCCAAAUACUGUAGGCUCAGAGCGCAGAUCCUGACCUCCAACAGUGUUCUCUUGGCCUUUAACAGAAGCACCUUCCUCAUCCCAUGUUCAGCAGGUUGCAGUGUGGGGCUCUCAGGCUAUACCCCAGAGGCUUAUCAGAACAUCUUCUUAACUCUGUGGGUAGCAGGUUCAUCCUCCACCCUUUUUAUUGACAGGGAUGCAUGCCCCUUGCACAUUCAGAUGGUGGGUUCCUUUCUCUUUGUCUUGUCCUAUAAAGGCACUUGCCUUACUUGAAACUCAUGGAAAGCUUCUGUCUGAGGGUUUCGUAAGUGUGAGGUCAAGCACUAGACUUUGGAGCCCUGAAGGGUGAGAAAGAUGGUUUAACAAAGGAAGUACAAGCCACUGUGUCCUCAGGGCCUUACAGUCUGUAAGUUUAUAGUUUGCCUGAUUUGGAAGGCUGAGUAAACACAGACACACCUUUUCAAGAAAGAAUACAAACUCAUUAGCACAUAGUUCAGAAUGAAGCUGAAGUGUGGGGGAAAGGGCAGAGGUGGAAAUGUGUCAGGGAUGAUGUCGCCUUUAUCUGUAUAUGUGACUCCCUUGGGUUUUUAAAUUCACUUAUUUAAAAUAAAUUCUGUGGAUUUUGCUUCUGUGCUUUGACUGGGAACUCCCAGGACUCAAUAAUAUAUUUGUGUGUCUCUGA